rnacentral:rRNA from 1 species
GUGAACUGCGGAAGGAUCAUUGUCGAAACCUGCAAAGCAGACCGCGAACACGUUCAAAAACAAAACCCGGCGCCGCGGAGUGGGGGCGACCCCGCAACGCGGCCCGACCCCGCGUGCGCUCGCGCGCGCGGGACAACGAACUCGGGCGCGGAAUGCGCCAAGGAAAACGAAAUUGAGCAUCCCCCUCCCCGACGCGCCCCGUUCGCGGGGCGACGGGGAGAAAGGGAUGCCUAUCGAAUGUCUAAACGACUCUCGGCAACGGAUAUCUCGGCUCUCGCAUCGAUGAAGAACGUAGCGAAAUGCGAUACUUGGUGUGAAUUGCAGAAUCCCGUGAACCAUCGAGUCUUUGAACGCAAGUUGCGCCCGAAGCCAUUAGGCCGAGGGCACGCCUGCCUGGGCGUCACGCAUCGCGUCGCCCCCUCCUCCCACUCGACUAACUCGGGGGAAGGCGGGGGCGGAGAUUGGCCCCCCGUGCGCGGCGACGCGCGCGGUCGGCCCAAACCCGAAUCCGCCGUCGACGCACGUCGCGACCAGUGGUGGUUGAACACUCAACUCGCGUGCUGUCGCGCGCCAAUGCGUCGUCGGUCCGGAGAAGACCGCAAGGACCCAACGGAGCGAUCGCGCAUCGCUCCCACGACCGCGACCCCAGGUCAGGCGGGAUCACCCGCUGA